rnacentral:rRNA from 1 species
AGUAGUUGACUCCGUGGCUCGAGGACGAACGCUGGCGGCGUGCUUAACACAUGCAAGUCGAACGGUAAGGCCUUUCGGGGUACACGAGUGGCGAACGGGUGAGUAACACGUGGGUGAUCUGCCCUGCACUUUGGGAUAAGCCUGGGAAACUGGGUCUAAUACCGAAUAGGACCAUGGACUUCACGGUUUGUGGUGGAAAGCUUUGCGGUGUGGGAUGGGCCCGCGGCCUAUCAGCUUGUUGGUGGGGUAAUGGCCUACCAAGGCGACGACGGGUAGCCGGCCUGAGAGGGUGACCGGCCACACUGGGACUGAGAUACGGCCCAGACUCCUACGGGAGGCAGCAGUGGGGAAUAUUGCACAAUGGGCGCAAGCCUGAUGCAGCGACGCCGCGUGAGGGAUGACGGCCUUCGGGUUGUAAACCUCUUUCGGCACAGACGAAGCGCAAGUGACGGUAUGUGCAGAAGAAGGACCGGCCAACUACGUG